CUGCAUCCGGUUUACAUGUCACUUGUUUUAUGUUAAAAAAAAAAGUGUCUCGCAGCUAUGCUUUAUUGCCCAUAAAGCAAUCAACACAGAAUAAAAAUGAUCUUACCUCUCUAAAGGACUUUGUCCAAGACUUGGCCAGCUGCUCCAGUGGGAGACCACUCAGUGGGAGGAAAACUCAGAAUGGACUGCAAAAACAAGGUUUGGUUUUUUUUUACCAUAAUGAAGAAGCUGUGACUCCAAUUAAGAAACCUUCUCUCCACCUCUCACAGCCCAUCUUUCUGAAUAAACUUUCAUGUUUCGCUUU